GACGGAGGAUGCAAGUGUUAUCCGGAAUCACUGGGCGUAAAGCGUCUGUAGGUGGUUCGAAAAAGUCCACUGUUAAAAAAUUGAGGCUUAACUUCAAAGAUGCCGUGGAAACUUUCAAACUAGGGUAUGGUAGGGGUAGAGGGAAUUUCCAGUGGAGCGGUGAAAAUGCGUAGAUAUUGGAAAGACCACCGGUGGCGAAGGCGGCUCUCUGGACCGAUACUGACGCUGAGGCGCGAAAAGCGUGGGGGAGCAAACAGG
rnacentral:rRNA from 1 species